rnacentral:rRNA from 1 species
GACGAACGCUGGCGGCGUGCCUAAUACAUGCAAGUCGAGCGAGUCUGCCUUGAAGAUCGGAGUGCUUGCACUCUGUGAAACAAGAUACAGGCUAGCGGCGGACGGGUGAGUAACACGUGGGUAACCUGCCCAAGAGAUCGGGAUAACACCUGGAAACAGAUGCUAAUACCGGAUAACAACAGAUGAUGCCUAUCAACUGUUUAAAAGAUGGUUCUGCUAUCACUCUUGGAUGGACCUGCGGUGCAUUAGCUAGUUGGUAGGGUAACGGCCUACCAAGGCGAUGAUGGAUAGCCGAGGUGAGAGACUGAUCGGCCACAUUGGGACUGAGACACGGCCCAAACUCCUACGGGAGGCAGCAGUAGGGGAUCUUCCACAAUGGCCGCAAGUCUGAUGGAGCAACGCCGCGUGAGUGAAGAAGGGUUUCGGCUCGUAAAGCUCUGUUGUUGGUGAAGAAGGACAGGGGUAGUAACUGACCUUUGUUUGACGGUAAUCAAUUAGAAAGUCACGGCUAACUAAGUG